UGGGGAAUAUUGGACAAUGGGGACAACCCUGAUCCAGCAAUACCGCGUGUGUGAAGAAGGCCUGAGGGUUGUAAAGCGCUUUCAAUUGUGAAGAAAAGUUAGCGGUUAAUAACCGUUGACCUUGACGUUAACUUUAGAAGAAGCACCGGCUAACUCCGUGCCAGCAGCCGCGGUAAUACGGAGGGUGCAAGCGUUAAUCGGAAUUACUGGGCGUAAAGCGUACGUAGGCGGUUUAUUAAGUCAGAUGUGAAAGCCCCGGGCUUAACCUGGGAACUGCAUUUGAAACUGGUCAACUAGAGUAUGGUAGAGGAAAGUGGAAUUUCUGGUGUAGCGGUGAAAUGCGUAGAUAUCAGAAGGAACAUCAAUGGCGAAGGCAGCUUUCUGGACCAAUACUGACGCUGAGGUACGAAAGCGUGGGUAGCAAACAGGAUUAGAUACCCUGGUAGUCCACGCCGUAAACGAUGAUAACUAGCCGUUGGGGGGAUUUACCCCUUAGUGGCGAAGCUAACGCGUUAAGUUAUCCGCCUGGGGAGUACGGUCGCAAGGCUA
rnacentral:rRNA from 1 species